UACAGAGGUGGCAAGCGUUGUUCGGAAUUACUGGGCGUAAAGGGCGCGUAGGCGGCCUUCUAAGUCAGACGUGAAAUCCCCCGGCUUAACCUGGGAACUGCGUCUGAUACUGGAAGGCUUGAGUGCGGGAGAGGGAUGUGGAAUUCCAGGUGUAGCGGUGAAAUGCGUAGAUAUCUGGAGGAACACCGGUGGCGAAGGCGGCAUCCUGGACCGACACUGACGCUGAGGCGCGAAAGCGUGGGGAGCAAACGGG
rnacentral:rRNA from 1 species